rnacentral:tRNA from 1 species
GCAGGGGUAGAUUAGUGGUAGAGUGCAUGCCUGGCAUGCAUGAGACCCAGGGUUCUAUCCCCCGCGCUCACA